GUAAAUUGUUAACCAAGGGUGGAAAGUGAACCAUAUCACCCGAGAUAUUUUGGCGCCCGAACAAAUUCGAGGGUGAGAUGGUUACUUUUACCCGAGUUAAACACUCUACUUUUCAUUUCGACUAUGAGGAAAGUCAAACACGAGAAAUGUAGGUU